AACGCACAUUGCGCCCUCUGGCAUUCCGGGGGGCAUGCCUGUCCGAGCGUCAUUUCUGCCCUCCAGCACGGCUGGGUGUUGGGCGCUGUCCCCCCGGGGACACGCCCCAAAAGCAGUGGCGGCGCCGCGUCGGGUCCUCGAGCGUAUGGGGCUUUGUCACCCGCUCGGGAGGGACUCGGUCGGCGCUGGUCUUCCUUUUAGGCAGCCCUUCGGGGUGCGCCUCUUCCGGUUGACCUCGGAUCAGGUAGGAAUACCCGCUGAACUUAA
rnacentral:misc_RNA from 1 species